ACCCUCUGGUUCCCUUUCCCAUCAAAUCUGAACACUGGUCUUGGUGGUCAUAAAAGCAGGAAAAUGAAUACUGAGGCUGGUCUUGAAGUGCUUGUAGUCUUAUAUACAACAUGUGGUCAGCUUCAAACAAGG